GGCAUUCCACACGGGAGCCCGAGGCAUCGGGCUGAGAUGGGGCUGGAGCCGCUCCGACCGUCGAACCUGAUCCGGGUAAUGCCGGCGAAGGAAGUGAGGAGCGACGUGUU
rfam:Nocardioides sp. JS614, complete genome.